AUUGAACGCUGGCGGCAUGCCUUACACAUGCAAGUCGAACGGUAACAGAUCUUCGGAUGCUGACGAGUGGCGAACGGGUGAGUAAUACAUCGGAACGUGCCUAGUAGUGGGGGAUAACUACUCGAAAGAGUGGCUAAUACCGCAUGAGAUCUACGGAUGAAAGUAGGGGAUCGAAAGACCUUGUGCUACAAGAGCGGCCGAUGGCAGAUUAGGUAGGUGGUGGGAUAAAAGCUUACCAAGCCGACGAUCUGUAGCUGGUCGGGUAGGACGAUCAGCCACACUGGGACUGAGAGACGGCCCAGACUCCUACGGGAGGCAGCAGUGGGGAAUUUUGGACAAUGGGCGAAAGCCUGAUCCAGCAAUGCCGCGUGCAGGAUGAAGGCCUUCGGGUUGUAAACUGCUUUUGUACGGAACGAAAAGCCCUGGGUUAAUACCCUGGGGUCAUGACGGUACCGUAAGAAUAAGCACCGGCUAACUACGUGCCAGCCGCCGCGGUAACAC
rnacentral:rRNA from 1 species